rnacentral:lncRNA from 1 species
GUAAUUUCUUUUUUAGAUUUUCAGCCUCACGUGGGCACGUCUUAAUAUUGUUGGAGAGCGAAAAUAUUUGGCAGGUAUUAUAUUUGGAUGGUAAAAGGAACAAAGCCAGGGGGCGUCCCGAUUCAUUUUCCGAAGUCGCCCAGUUUGGACCACCCUUAUACCCUCUCCAUCUUUUUAUAAAUCCCAACCUCUUCAAUCUAUCUUAUCGAUAAGUACAACGGACGCCCACGUUUAAGUCAAGCUCUGUCUUUUUCAUGAAUUAAUGUGUUUUGAUCAAUAACUCAUCACAAUUUUCGGGUAUUUACACUUACUCGUGAACUAUUUUGAGGGUACGAGGAGACGAAGCCAUGGAUGAACCAGCUCUUUGUGAUGAAGUACCGACUGGUAAAGGACGGACUGAUGAAGUGCGGGCUGAUGGAGCACGAGUUGAUGAAGCACUGGCUGACGUAGUGCGGGCUGAAGGAAUGGCUGAUGAAUUACAGACUGAUGUAGUGCGGGCUGAUGAAGUACGGAUAGAUGAAGUGCGGGAUGGUGAAGCGCGGGCUGAUGAAGUACUGGAAGUACUGGCUGAUGAAGUACCGGAAGUACUGGCUGAUGAAAUACGAGCCGAUGAAAUACGGCCCGAUGGAGCACGAGUUGAUGAAGCACUGGCCGACGAAGUGCGGGCUGAAGGAUUGGCUGAUGAAAUACGAGCUGAUGAAAUACGGCCCGAUGGAGCACGAGUUGAUGAAGCACUGGCCGACGAAGUGCGGGCUGAAGGAUUGGCUGAUAAAACUAAAACAAAGUUUGAACCAUAUCAGAUUCAAGCAUAGAAGAUCACAACUGAUGGAUAAAAAAUAUACCUAUUUCAUCGCCUCUCCUUAUCAGAAAGUGAUUCGGUAGUAAGUAAGACAGCCAAUCAACGGUGUAAGUCCGCAACCACGUAUCUCGCUUUGUGACAUGGCAGAUUUCCUGUCAUACUUUACUUAUUUUUUAAAGGAAAAACCACUCAACAACAAUUCUUAAAAACUGAAGUCAUAUUUCUUCCCUGUGCAAAGAAAAUUCUGCGAGAACUUCAAGCAAUGAUGUUGAUUCGUUUUCCUCUAAACAAAAAAAAUAGGAGCAGAGAUUUUCAAACACCACGAACAAGAUAAGUGGUUGCGGACUUACACCGUCGAUGUGUGGGAUGGAUCCUCAUCCAUCCCAUUUAUUUAGGGACCCUCAUUUUUCUUUAACCCAAAUCAAGUUAGUAGUGUUCAUCCAAAGGGGUGAAAAUUAUUUGCUUCCAUAAAAAACAUUCAAAGUAAGAAUGUCAGCUUCAGUCACUGCAAGCUGCCUCUUCCAAUUUGCUCUCUUCCAAGAUAGGUACAUGGAAAUCGAUGGUGUAAGUCGGCAAUCACGUAUCUAGUUUGCGGUCAUAGGCGUAGAUAGGGGGGUCCUGGGGGGCCUGGCCCCCCCAGAAAUCUCGUGGCCCCCCAGAAAAACGGGAUCCUCCAUUCCUCACCCCCCCUCCCGCUCUCUUCACCACGAGAGGUGGUCCCAUGCCCCCCCCCCCAGAGAAAUUUCCUAGCUACGCCCCUGUUUGCGGUGUCUGAAAAUCUCCGCCUCUGUUAUUUUUUUGAAGGAGAACAAAUGUACAUCAUUCCCUGAAGUUUUUGCAGAAUUCUCUUCGCACAGAGAUAUAAAAAUCAUGGUAGUUUUAAAGAAUUGCCGUUGAGAAGUUUUCCGUUUAAAAAAUGAAGUAUGACAGGAAGUCUACGACGUCGCAAACCGAGAUACGUAGUUGGGGACUUACACCGUCGAUCUGCAACCAAAUCAACCGGACUUGAUUUGCAGAAAAUGAAGAAAAAGGAAAAAACUGAAACUCCGCCGUCACUCACGCAAACACAAUUUUUUUCCCAAUACAAAUUAAGUCAAAAUGAAAUUUUCGCUCUUUUUCAUACUAAUUCUUUGUUUGUCUUUAUGGUUUUGCAGUCCGACAUCUUUUUUGCGUUUUUCAAAGCCCUGUGUUUUUACCAAAGUGAGCCGUAUAUAGUGAAAAAAUUCUUGUGUUUUAGAAAAUACGAAUUUUAGUGAACGAAUUUUAUUAUUCUAUUGAAUUAUUAUUUUGACUUUUGAUUCAAUGCCCUUGAUCUGCUAACACUGACUACAUGUUUUGAAUUUGAAUCGCAAUCGUGAAAAAAUCUUUGCGGUUUACUCAAACUUUGAACUGGUAUGCUAGUCAGAUUGCUCUGUGCAGACCACAUAAUUCUAUGCAUUUAAGAAAGGCUUGAAAAGUCUAGUUUUGGUGUUUACCUAUGUUUCUAGAUAAGGAUAUGUCACCUCCAUAUUCAACUCGAAGAAUUCCAUGCGAGCUCGACGUAAUCUCAAUUGUUUUUGUAAAUACAUUCAUCUUUACUUGAUAAGAGCUGAAACACAAAAAGCAACUAUUUAAGAACAUUACUUUCAUUUUUACUGAUGAAUGUGAUAGUUUAGUUUAAAAUCAUAACGUGUCACAAUAAUAUUGUCUCUCCUCUGAAUUUUAGAAAUAAGGCCGCCUUUAUCUUCAUCCUGCUAAAUAUCUUAGGCCAUUUACACUUCUGAUAAAAAUCAGGAAUGUGCGAGAUUAACAUUUGAACAAAGUAAAAAAACAAACGAGAGUUAACAUUUACCCUGACCUAUAAAAUUUCCUAGGAAUAGAAACUCACAAUUUUUAAUUAGUUUACUUUUUUAUGCCGCGUUCAAGUCUCCAACUUGUGUAUCAACCAACCUUAACAUCUGGCUCCGUUUUCCCGACUUUGAGGCGAAUUUAUUCAAUAGUAGAAUGAACAUGUAACUUAUUAAUCCUAAGUAUAGGAGUACCAGGACAGUUUUUACGAAACUAACUUACCCAUAUCCAGCUCUUCUAAACAACCGUGUUUCUGUUUAUUCAUAAACAUUUUUCUUCUUUUUCAAUGAGGCAAAAAUCUGUAAGGAUGGUUAUAGAUCUUAAGCAGUAAAUCCAGCCAUACCACCCAUUUUCCCCCAUCACCCCCCCCCCCCCCCCCGGUAAGGAUUUUCCGAGUGAUCGGUGCUUGUUAUAGAACCAACCAUGUUUCCAGAUUGCAGCCUCUUGCGGUCAAACGAAAAAGUUCGCCCUUUUAACUAAUGUAAAUCUUGCUCGUUUGCUUAGCUUCUAAAAUGAAUAAGAUAAAAAUCGUUUAUUCCAAUCUGAUAAGGUACUUUAUUCCAUAAUACCUCUAGCAGCUGGACCCAAAAAUGAACUUGGUUUUUCCAUCAUCCACCAAUUUGUCGUAAAAUUGAUUUUCCAAAAGGCGCGUUUUUUAGAUGGCAAGAGUAUGCCUUUUUGGGAAAUGUGAUUUUAUAAAAAUUGGUGGGUGAUGAAAAAAGAACAAGGCCAUUAUUGGCUGCAGCAGCUAGAAAUGCAAAGUUUAGGUUAAAGUCCCAUCAGACAAUUGGAAAAACUAAAUGUCGCCUUCUUUUUUAGACGUAGAGGAGAUGGACAAGAUUCACAUUGGUUGAAUGGGCAAAUUUCGUCCUUUGACCCAAAAAACAAGAACUGCGAGAAAAGUUCUUGGGCAUGCAGAAAGUGCACGUAGUUUUAGCAGCAAAAUCCAAUACAUCGUCAAUUUGUCUGAAUAUGCAUCAGUUUAAGUUUAAAUAAAAUACAAAUUAAAUCACACUUCCCUGAAAAAUCCCUUUUUUAUCCCGGAAAACUUCAAUUUCCAGGAAUUAGUGCUAAAAGUCAUGCAGUUACGCAUCACCUUCUAAGAUCCUUGCCCCUUUUCAUUGGUAGACUUAUGUUAUUAUUUCCAAAAGGCUCUUAGAUUUACGUUUCAUCGCUUGCAUAUCUCAUAGUCAAUUGUCCUGAAUUCUGACCCAAGAACAUCACUUGGAAACUCAAAUCGCUCAGUGCAGUAAAAACUAAUGUAGAGUCAAAAAUAUCGAUGUCUAACUCUCGACACCAAACACUGCUACACUCAAGAAGGAUGUGUCAAAAUUCCAUGUCAUAAUUUGCAUCAGUGGCGCGGCGUGAAUGAUCGAUUAUCGAUUUUUCUCCAUUUGAAGCUGUGGUAAUAAAUCGAUCAUCAUCAAGACAAUCGUUGCGAAGAGGGUUUAUCGAUCCUUUUCUAUAGAAUUAUAUGGCAGAUCAAUUGAUUUAUCGCAAAGCGCGCCACGCCCACGCCGCCACUGAUUUGCAUUAAAUGGACGUAUAUUCUGUUUAUGCUAAAAGGAACUAUGUGAAUAGGGUUUGCAUACUACAAAGUUACUUUUACUAUCUAUUCACUUUAAAAGCUGACACCACAGGCAAACUUCGUUCGGGUUCAUAUCAGAAUCGUUAUUUAUUGUUCUCCAACUUUGAGUUGCUCUCAUGAGAUCAAUUUUUGGAAUUUGUAGGUGUUGUUUGCGCGAAACGAUGCAAUAUGAACUUGACUAAGCUGUAGUAACGGCAUUUAAUUUAUUUUUUCUCUUCCCUAAGGGUUUCUUUUCACUGACUUUUCACAUCAUAUGAAUUCUCGAAUUUCAGGUUUUAAAGUGAUUCGAUGGACGCCAUAUUUUGUGUCAGAACGGCAUGUGAUAUAUCGCAUCAAUUGGUUCAAUUUUUUCAGCUACCCGUCAUUUUUCUCCAAUUUUGAGAUCGCAAUUCUGUUGUCAGGAGACUAAAGCACUCACUUGCCAAUUUUAACAAAGAAAUUCAACGUAAUAAAGGCGUGGUAUUUUUAGAGAGAAAACAUCGUAUUCGAUACUGAUAUCGAAACUGCACUCGAAUGCGAUAUUUUCUCUCUAAAAAAACCACGUCUUUAUUACGCUGAAUUUCUUGGUUAAAAUUGGUAAGUGAGUGCUUUAGUCUCCUGACAACAGAAUUGCGAUCUCAAAAUUGGAGAAAAAUGACGAGUAGCUGAAAAAUGGAACCGAUAUAUUGAUGCGAUAUAUCGCAUGCCGUUCUGACACAAAAUAUGGCGUCCAUCAAACCAUCUUAAAUAGUGUGGCUCAAAAACCCAGCAAGUAGGAGGAGAUUGGCAUUUUCAAAAAGAGCAAUUGACAGGAAAUUAAGGAGAGAAUACGAUAAAAAUAUGGGUAUGAAUGGUUGAAUGAAGAUGCAAGAUAACGAAUCGUCAAGUAAGAGAGUUCAGAACCCUGAAACGCGAACACAUUGACUGCGAAUGAGAAUUCUGUUGUAUGAAAAUGAAACCCAAAUUAUAGGAGGUACUCUGAGAUAAAUAGUCCGUGAGAUACUCGAGAUAUACUCUGCGAUAAAAAGUCCUUGAAAUAGCGGCAUUUGCAUCGAAAUAAAGGAUGCUGAUUUAACAUUCUGGAUGUGCGACCACUCACAAAACGCCGAAUUCACCACUACAGCAGUUACUUCAGCUAUGUCAAGAUGUAGGUAAAUCUAACUGCUGUGGCGGUUAAUUGAGCGUUUUGUGAGUUGUCGCACACUUUU